rnacentral:lncRNA from 1 species
GUGUGUGCGUUUGGUCGGUCAGUCCUAUCUCUUGAUCUGGCUGUAGUGUGUGUGUGCGUUUGGUCGGUCAGUCCUAUCUCUUGAUCUGGCUGUAGUGUGUGUGUGUGUGCGUUUGGUCGGUCAGUCCUAUCUCUUGAUCUGGCUGUAGUGUGUGUGUGUGUGCGUUUGGAUCAGUUGGGUUCAGUGUGGUGGGGGCCAUUGGCGUGGGCGCGGGAGCGGGGGCGGGGAGGGGGGGGGGGACGGGGGGGGGUCGGAG